rfam:Glycine soja cultivar W05 scaffold2335_13, whole genome shotgun sequence.
UAAGAGGAUUUUCUAAAAUCCAUCUUAAAAAUAAGUGCGUUUUAUAU